rnacentral:rRNA from 1 species
AAUGAACGUUGGCGGCGUGGAUUAGGCAUGCAAGGCGAGCGCGAACCCCGCAAGGGGGGAGAGCGGCAAACGGGGUAGUAACGGGUAGGUGACGUACCCUCGGGUUGGGGAUAGCCCCGGGAAACUGUGGGUAAUACCCAAUAAUCUCCUGGAGCUUGAAGGCUUCGGGAGCAAAGGUGUGAUUCCACCGGAGGAGCGGCCUGCUUCGUAUUAGCUAGUUGGUGAGGUAACGGCUCACCAAGGCUUCGAUGCGUAGGGGGUGUGAGAGCAUGACCCCCACCACUGGGACUGAGAUACUGCCCAGACACCUACGGGUGGCUGCAGUCGAGAAUCUUCGGCAAUGGGCGCAAGCCUGACCGAGCGACGCCGCGUGUGGGAUGAAGGCCCUUGGGUUGUAAACCACUGUCAGAGGGGAUGAAGUGCCAGAGAGCAAUCUCUCUGGUUUGACAUAGCCUCAGAGGAAGCACGGGCUAAGUUCGUGCCAGCAGCCGCGGUAACAC